ACGCUCGACACCUACGGGAGGCAGCAGUGGGGAAUAUUGCACAAUGGGGGAAACCCUGAUGCAGCAACGCCGCGUGAAGGAAGAAGGUUUUCGGAUCGUAAACUUCUAUCAAUAGGGAAGAAAGAAAUGACGGUACCUAAAUAAGAAGCCCCGGCUAACUACGUGUCAGCAGCCGCGGUAAUCUGAGCGGGCUGGCAAGGC
rnacentral:rRNA from 1 species